GCUCAACCUGGGACUAACCUGGGACUUGUGGCCCUGUCUCCUCUUGUCUUCAUCAUCAUGGGAUAUCUGCCCUGAGACAUUUUGUGCAGAGGUCUCCACAGCACAAACUCUGUCUGCUUCUGGUGGAAGUGCUGUGAGAGCUUGAAGGUCCUGCCUGGUGUCCUGCCUUCCUCACUGUGGAGGAAGAGUGAGACUCUUAUGACUGUGAACCUUGGGAAGACCUUGGGAAUAACUGGGAGCUGAAACAGGAAGCCCCAUGACACAGUUGAUCGAAAAUGACACAGACACAGAAAAAUCAGGACGUGCCCCCAGCAGCACCCCUACCUGCUGCCUGCUGAUCACGGCUGGGAGGCCCGUCCAGGGUUCCCACCCGGGAACGGACUCUUAGCUACUCAGUGCUCACGGGUGCUGGGCCUGCAGAGCUUUUCGGAUGCUCUCUUACAGCUGGUUUGUUAUCUUUUAAUCAAUCAACUAAUUAAUCUAUUACUUUAUUUAUUGGCCCUCCCCAUGUCUUGAUCCUUUCUUCAUUAAAAGCAAAAGGAAAG
rnacentral:lncRNA from 1 species